CAUUUUGUUAAAGCGGUAUUAUGUUCUUCAAUAUGGAAACUCCAAUAAUUUCUCAAUCAAUUGAAAUCUUCUCCAAUAAUCUUCAAUCAAUCUUUAAAACCUCAUUUAAAUUUCAUAUAUCUUGCCUGUUCCAUCGUUCCAUCUCUCUGUUGAUGUAUAUUAUGUUUUCAAUUUCAAACAAUAGCUAAUGAUUCUAUGAUGAUUCCUUGACUGCCUUGCUGCUCCUCCGAAGAUCUCCAAUCUCUUCUAGGUUUGAAUCUGAGCGAUUGUGUACACAAUUAGGGUUCAUGCUAAUAAUCUGAAUUUGAUUCUGUAACAAUGUCGGGGAGUCGGCAGACUAUUUCUCUGGUCGAUUUCUUUGAUUCUACGGUUAGUAAACUACAAAAGGAAGAAGAAUCAGAGAUGUAGAGAUGUGUUGUUGAUCUACAAUAUCAGAGUAGAAUCAAAAUCCUCAUCUUCAUCUUCCGACUUGAUACAGAGCCGGUGUGGGAUCUGAGUUUGUUCUUCAUCUAGGGUUUUGAUGACGAGAGCAAUUGUGUGAUGAGCUUGCCUUGCUCUCAAGAAAUCGGGUUCCGCCGCGAGUGGAGAGACAAAUGCUUUGUUGUUGUUUAGACUCAACCAGAAGAGAAUCGUCAUUGGAGCUGUGACAGUGGCGUACGAAUGGGGAUUCAAGUCAGCGAUGGUGGUUGUAGCUUUGAGUAGAGGUUCGACUAUUCAUCAACAAGUUAUUAAAGAAUUUUCCUGGUCAUUUUGUUUUGUUUGGUGAGAUGUGCAAGUUAUAAGGUCCGAUGGAUGAUACGAAGAAGUUCCCAAAGUAAAAUUAUGAUGGGUCCAACGGGUUUGGGUCAUAAGGUUCCAACCAAACUGGUUCAGGGAUCAUUUGCCGCCUGGGAUAUGAUGUUGAUGCAAAUAUACCUCAAGGUGCCAUUACGACGUCAUAGAAGAUAAAGAUUUACAAAACGUUCGCCUCGCAGCUGAUGGCUAGAAGUAAGUUUUUUAUGAUGUUCCGAGAAGAAUUAGAGCAAAGCUAUAACAAGGAUAACCUUAUCUGGUGUUUGCUAUAACAAGAGGAAUGCAGAAAUAAAUGGCAUAAGGGUGUGCUGGGUGUACUUGGUGAAGGGGUGUGCAGUGAGUAUUCACCAUGUGGGAACACCGCCCCUUUGACCCUUCACCAUGCGGUAAAUGGAUACAAGCGGGGAAUAUUCACCGUGCAAGGGAAGAGGGGGGAUGUUGGGCCCCACUAUCUUCCAACCAUAUAUGGUUCAUUUGGCAAUUGGCAAUGAUCUUAAUACCAUAGAAGCCAAUUGGCAGGUAAACAGGCGGUUGGUUAGCUUGGCAAUGACCUAUUAAUGUGAUCGAUACAUAUUUUGCAUUUGGUUUAGCAUUGGAUAUUGAGUUUUGAAGCCGAUAAACCGAUGUGCGUUCUAUUUGGUGCAAAAACUAUGCUAGAAAGACUGAGAAAUAGAAGAUUAGCAUUUGUUGGUGAUUCAAUUGGAAGAAACCAGUGGGAAUCCCUUUUGUGUUUGUUAUCAAAUAAAUAUGUUAAAAAGAAAUAAAAUUCUAAACAUGUUUUUGAGAAAUGUUAUGGGACUUCAAUGUGAAUACUGAUUUUUAUCAAAGUAGCUUCCUUAAUAAGUUCAUCAUGUAGCUUCCUUAACAGGUGAAUCAAGUUCCCUUCUCUUUCUAUUUCAGAUGCU